GCUCCCGUAGUUCAACGGAUAGAACGCCAGCCUUCUAAGCUGGAUACGCAGGUCCGACUCCUGCCGGGGGUA
rnacentral:tRNA from 1 species